rnacentral:rRNA from 1 species
UCUGAGAGGAGAAUCCCCCACACUGGUACUGAGACACGGACCAGAUCUCCUACGGGAGGCAGCAGUAAGGAAUAUUGGUCAAUGGAGGGAACUCUGAACCAGCCAUGCCGCGUGCAGGAUGACUGCCCUAUGGGUUGUAAACUGCUUUUGCCCAGGAAUAACCCUAUCUACGAGUAGAUAGCUGAAGGUACUGGGAGAAUAAGGAUCGGCUAACUCCGUGCCAGCUGCCGCGGUAAUACGGAGGAUCCGAGCGUUAUCCGGAUUUAUUGGG